rnacentral:tRNA from 1 species
AGCAUUACGCCGGAUGAGCGGGAAUCAUUGAUGUUGAUUUAUAUAUAAGAUUUUUGUAUCUUUUUAAUGUUA